rnacentral:rRNA from 1 species
AUGCUUUUCCUAAAGACUAAGCCAUGCAUGUCUUCGAAUAAGAGGAAGCAAUUCUCUCUGAAUCUGCGUACGGCUCCGCACACCAGUUGUAAACCAAAGCAAGCAAGCCCGGUCUCGACGCCUUUCGGGGCUAGGGGCCGGGCUACAAGGAUAACCCUGGUAAUUCUGAGGCUAAUACUUGACACGAACCUGCUGACUGGGUCUCGGCUCGGGAGGUGGGGGAUGUGCGACUAUCGGGCCAACGAAACCGGAAAGAGCG